rnacentral:lncRNA from 1 species
CCGCAUCCCCGCACCGUCUGCUGAUCUCGGGCUGGGCGGGGCCCUCCCUGGGGGGUUCUAACACUAAUAAUAUUCCCUGCCAUGGCUUUCAGAGCUCUUCCAAGUCCAUUUUCUCAGAUCGACUUCUUUUCAUGCCUCCGUGCUGAGCCCGCUGCCGGGCGCCUUGGCUCCCAGCAAACUCCUACCCUUCAGGGUCCACUUGAAAUUGUUAGCAACUUCACCUCGCUGCCCUGGGGCUCCGACCCACACUCCGAGGAGCUCCGAGGAGGGGCCCCCGGGGGCCCCGUACACACAAUUCGUCCCUUCCGCCAAGGGCUCUUUCCCGUUCGGUAUCGAGGAUUUGGAAGGAAACCGAAGCUGGGUGUUCACCGGCGCGAGCUUUAUUCAAUGGCCAAGAAGGGAGAAGCGGGAGCCAAGUCCACGAAUGCGCUCCUCAGUUCUGAUUAAGCAGCUGCUAUGGGUUCAGGCCCGUUCCUCGCCCCUGGCCCAACAAACUUGGAUGCCUUCUUCGGGCCCCACAGAAACGUCUGCACACACCAUUUGAGGGCAAGAGCCGUGUUUGACCCAAGCCCCCUCCCCCGGUGCCUCCCACGCGCCCAGCUCAGAGGGAAGCCAGGAAGCAUCCAAAGCAUCAUAGUUAGAAGCCAGUCAAACAGAUGCCUCCUUCUCUCAUCAGACCCCAUCAGGGUGUUGGCCUUGGCCACGAGACGUCCUAGAGCGUCUUCCCAGCCUGUCUGGUCUGGUGUGGAUGGCCUUGACAUCCACAAUGAACGCGAGUGUGUUGCUGUCCUCUGUCUCCUUCGUGGCGGACUUGGUGGACGGGGAACUUGAAUGAUGGCAGAGUGGUCAAGCUUGCUUCUCCUGGGGGCGCUCUUCCAAGGAGGAUUGGGCCGCCUUCAGAGCCACAGUGUCUUGGUCCUCGGGAAGAUGAGAAAACCAAGACCAAGAGACAUUGGCUAAUUUCUCCAAGACACUGAGCCAGACAGCGGAGAAACUCGCCCACGUGUCUUCCUCUGGAAUGUGUGUUCUUUCCUCUCUUCCAGGCUGUCCUACUUUGCUCUUUAAAGAGUAAUUUUGUGACCCAAAUAAAUCUAAUUGGUGACAUUU